GUGCGAGUCAGUCUCUUAUACACAUCACGUGAUGGUGAUGAUGAUGAGGUAAAACCGAAAGUGAAAGUAAAGCUGAACAGCAGCUCGGCUCCAGAAACCAUAUUAUAUUCAGUGAAAAUGGUGACGAGACCCAAAACAAUCCCUGAGAUAUCAGCGAUCAGCUCCAGUCCAGAUGAUCCAGUGAUCCGGAUUCUUCUGAUGAGGCUCAUCUGUACUGGGAGAAAAGGGAUUCAUAAUGAAAAGCAUGAAGUUGAAGUUUGUGAGGAGAAAACAUAGGUGGAUGUGAAGCAGGUGAAUGUGACUUCACUUCACUGAGGUUAAAUAAUGGAGAAACUCAAAGAAUCGUGCAUCACACGUUGAAAACUCUUCAACUCUCUAAUGGGAUUGAGUGAAGAAAGAGCGCUUCACACACCGAAUGAACCGGACCCGAACAUUCAGAAUGAACUGGUCUGAAGUUACAUUACACAGUUUAACACGUUAGUUGGAGCAGGUGGACUGGAAUAUACCGGACCGAGGAGACGUUCAAAACUCAUCGGUCUAUCACAAAUAGGAAAAUUUGUAUGCAUGUAUGUAUGUAUGUAUGUAUCUAUCUAUCUAUCUAUGGACUUAAUUUCUAGCGAUUAUCGUCGAUUUGAUUGCACAGAUACUAUUUAAACUAAACUGAGCUAGACAAUGACCUCUCUGAAUUCAAUAAUGAAAUGCCUUUAACUGAAAAUUGAGUGUUUAAUCUUAUCAUUAUACAUUACUGACACUCUAUCCUCCAAUUUGAUACUGUUAAGUGCUUUGACACAAUCUGUAUUGUUAAAAGCGCUAUAUAAAUAAAGGUGACUUGACUUGACUUAUGGAUAGAAAAUGAUGGAACUGCUUAAAACUGUCCUGACACUCACUUGAGGAGCUUUUUCUUCUUUUUCUCACACCUGAAGAAGUCUGCAGUCAAAAGGUGGGGUACAGAUUUGGGAACGGAUGACUUGUUUUUUAUUUCGUCUUGACUCCACCUUCUGCUGUUUUCCG